rnacentral:rRNA from 1 species
UACGAAGGGGGCUAGCGUUGUUCGGAAUUACUGGGCGUAAAGCGCACGUAGGCGGACAUUUAAGUCAGGGGUGAAAUCCCAGAGCUCAACUCUGGAACUGCCUUUGAUACUGGGCGUCUUGAGUAUGGAAGAGGUGAGUGGAAUUCCGAGUGUAGAGGUGAAAUUCGUAGAUAUUCGGAGGAACACCAGUGGCGAAGGCGGCUCACUGGUCCAUUACUGACGCUGAGGUGCGAAAGCGUGGGGAGCAAACAGG